rnacentral:tRNA from 9 species
GCGGGGGUGCCCGAGCCAGGUCAAAGGGGCAGGGUUGAGGUCCCUGUGGCGUAGGCCUGCGUGGGUUCAAAUCCCACCCCCCGCACCA